rnacentral:rRNA from 1 species
GUAGGGAAUCUUCCACAAUGGACGCAAGUCUGAUGGAGCAACGCCGCGUGAGUGAAGAAGGGUUUCGGCUCGUAAAGCUCUGUUGGUAGUGAAGAAAGAUAGAGGUAGUAACUGGCCUUUAUUUGACGGUAAUUACUUAGAAAGUCACGGCUAACUACGUGCCAGCAGCCGCGGUAAUACGUAGGUGGCAAGCGUUGUCCGGAUUUAUUGGGCGUAAAGCGAGUGCAGGCGGUUCAAUAAGUCUGAUGUGAAAGCCUUCGGCUCAACCGGAGAAUUGCAUCAGAAACUG